CUCAGUGAAGGAAAGGAACAACAAAAACAAAAACAACAACAAAAGAACAUUAGUAGCUUCAGCAGAACUAGCGUAAAUAAUUAUCUAAGCAUAAGAACCAUAAAUAAAAUAGCAUGCAUUAAUAUCAGACAAUAACUACCAUAAAUAACUACCAUAAGGGAGACACAAUCCAAUACACACAUCAUCUAAGGAUAGCCCUGCCAAGCCUCACCCAACCCUGGGUGAGGAGUACGAAAAAUACUAGGGGCCCCUAUCCUACAACCCUGAUACUAGACCUCCAGACUUCCCUAUCAAGGGCCAUGUCCUCAAAAACCGCAUUCUAGCCAUGUCAUGCCUAAUCACCUCUCCCCAAUACCUCUUAGGCCUCCCUCUGCCUCGUCGUGCGCCGACCAUCGCCAGCCGCUCACNNNN
rnacentral:lncRNA from 1 species